CCUACGUGAGGCUGCAGUGAGGGAUAUUGGUCAAUGGGCGCGAGCCUGAACCAGCCAAGUAGCGUGAAGGAUGACUGCCCUACGGGUUGUAAACUUCUUUUAUAAAGGAAUAAAGUGAGGCACGUGUGCCUUUUUGUGUGUACUUUAUGAAUAAGGAUCGGCUAACUCCGUGCCAGCAGCCGCGGUAAUACGGAGGUUCCGAGCGUUAUCCGGAUUUAUUGGGUUUAAAGGGAGCGUAGAUGGGUUGUUAAGUCAGUUGUGAAAGUUUGCGGCUCAACCGUAAAAUUGCAAUUGAUACUGGCAGUCUUGAGUACAGUUGAGGUAGGCGGAAUGCGUGGUGUAGCGGUGAAAUGCUUAGAUAUCACGAAGAACUCCGAUUGCGAAGGCAGCUUACUAAACUGCCACUGACAUUGAUGCUCGAAAGUGUGGGUAUCAAACAGGAUUAGAUACCCCAGUAGUC
rnacentral:rRNA from 1 species